AUCGCUUCUCGGCCUUUUGGCUAAGAUCAAGUGUAAAAUAAUUUUUAAAUAAAAAAUAAUAAAGAAUCAUUCAUGUUUGCACUCAGAGAUUUAGGGACUUUCAUUAUUGCAUACCGGAUCAUAUGCUACAGUUCUCU
rnacentral:snRNA from 1 species